rnacentral:rRNA from 1 species
UACGGAGGGUGCGAGCGUUGUCCGGAAUCACUGGGCAUAAAGGGUGCGUAGGCGGCUUGUUAAGUCAGGGGUGAAAGUUUUCGGCCCAACCGGAAAAUUGCCUUUGAUACUGGCGAGCUCGAGUGCGUGAGGGGUAACCGGAACGAGCAGUGUAGCGGUGAAAUGCGUAGAUAUUGCUCGGAAGGCCAACGGCGAAGGCAGGUUACUGGUACGCAACUGACGCUGAGGCACGAAAGCGUGGGGAGCAAACAGG